rnacentral:rRNA from 1 species
UACGGAGGGGACUAGCGUUGUUCGGAAUUACUGGGCGUAAAGCGCACGUAGGCGGAUUUGUAAGUCAGGGGUGAAAUCCCACGGCUCAACCGUGGAAGUGCACCCGAAACUGCGUAGCUAGAGUCCUGAAGAGGAAGGUGGAAUGCUUGGUGUAGAGGUGAAAUUCGUAGAUAUCAAGCGGAACACCGGUGGCGAAGGCGGCCUUCUGGACAGUGACUGACGCUGAGACGCGAAAGCGUGGGGAGCAAACAGG